CAUAUGAAAGCAUGGCUCAGUUACAAGAUGUUUUCAUCGAAAGAUGAGAAAUCAACUUAAGAAUGCUAAGGACCUGACUUUAAGGAAUUGAUUUUACAGCAGCACUUCUCAU